rnacentral:rRNA from 1 species
UGACUCCUACGGGACGCAGCAGUGAGGAAUAUUGGUCAAUGGACGAGAGUCUGAACCAGCCAAGUAGCGUGAAGGAUGACUGCCCUAUGGGUUGUAAACUUCUUUUAUAUGGGAAUAAAAUGUUCCACGUGUGGGAUUUUGUAUGUACCAUAUGAAUAAGGAUCGGCUAACUCCGUGCCAGCAGCCGCGGUAAUACGGAGGAUCCGAGCGUUAUCCGGAUUUAUUGGGUUUAAAGGGAGCGUAGGCCGGCUUUUAAGUCAGCUGUGAAAGUCCGCGGCUCAACCGUGGAAUUGCAGUUGAAACUG